rnacentral:rRNA from 1 species
AACGUAGGGGGCGAGCGUUGUCCGGAAUUACUGGGCGUAAAGGGCGUGUAGGCGGGUUAUUAAGUCAGAUGUGAAAUAUCCGGGCUCAACCUGGAGGGUGCAUCUGAUACUGGUAGCCUUGAGUGCAGGAGAGGACAGUGGAAUUCCUAGUGUAGCGGUGAAAUGCGUAGAUAUUAGGAGGAACACCAGUGGCGAAAGCGGCUCUCUGGCCUGUAACUGACGCUGAGGCGCGAAAGCGUGGGGAGCAAACAGG